GCCCCUCCCCCAGCCUGUCUUCCGCCUUGCAGUUUGAUCUCAGACUGCUGUGCUAGCAAUCAGCGAGACUCCGUGGGCGUAGGACCCUCCGAGCCAGGGAAAUGGAAUUGAAGACAACUACUUCUAGAAUUGGUGCAUGGAAGCUUCUCAUAGGUGAUUAGCCACACUCUUCUUCUGUCAACCUGGUGCAGAAAAGCUUGAAGACCUUGGAAAUCACAUAUUGAUGAUGGAGGAGAUACAAGAAUGAAGGACCCUGGGUUCCUGAAUCAACACUCUAAGAAGAGACUCCUUGAAAUCAAGAGCACUCAUUUUGACAUUGCAAACGGAAAAAUUCACUUCUAUCAGGUGUCAUUAGUUCCUUGCUAGAAUUUCUUUGGUGUCCUUUCUGCAUUUCAAACUCACAAAGGUUCUGUGAAAAGCAAUAUGUUCCCCAGUGGAGCUUAAAGUCUGGUGCAGAAAGCAGACAUUUAACAGGGGACUGAUCGGAGUCAAACCAUAUGCUGUGGCUUUUGCUCCAUGGAAAUCUCAACUAUACUGCAAGAAUAAUUAUUCCUACUUAAUGAAGUUACAGAAGAGAAUGUGGUGCUGGACGGUACUGACUGCAUGGGGAGAGGCCAUACCACAGAAACCUCAAUCUGCCUGAGCCGUGACUCUGAGAGCUGGAGUACCACUGGACAAGUGGGAACUGGAAGGGAAUUGAAGUAUCUGGGGCACCUGUUUCUCUGGUAAUGUAACAGCCUAUAAUUUCCACUGGGGCGAGAUCCUCAUCAAACCUCAGGGCAAAGCUAUUUUGCCUGCAGUUUCUGAGCCAUCGAUCAUGUCCUUAAAUAUGACUUGCUUCUAUGAGAUUGCUUUUGAGGAUGAUGAAAGGAGAGUUUAUUUAGAGGCACCUGUGCCUGCUAGGUGAUACUACCUAAUUUUGAGCUAAACAAACAAACAAACAAAAUACUCUGUAGAUAAAAUAUACAGCAUCUUUUUUUCUUGUUGGAUUCUUGAAAAGCCAGUAUUCCACAUUUGAGAGGUUUAAAAUCAGAGCUGACAAAUGCAGGAUUUUAAUUGAAGUAUUUUAUGUAAAUAGUAGUAUACACUUGUCCAGAUAUGGAAUGAGGUUCUGUUAGGAUAAUUUCAGUUCUUUAGGAACUGUUCAUCUUACAUCAUCAUUUUAGUUAGAAUAAAGACAUCCUUUAUGUGGUAUUCAUUGUAAGUAAAUUAGUAAUUUUUCUUUCAUAGUUUAUAUGUACUGUUGGUUGUAUUAUUCUGAAAAGCCUGUACUAAAAUUCAAGCUGCCAUUAUGUAUAUAUUUUUAAAUGAGAACUCUUGCAUUUCUUACUUGUGUAUAACGAAAUACCAAUGCCUGAAAAAUCUGCUGAAAAUCUCUGUUAAUACAGUACAAUUAAAUAUGGUUAUCAAGGAAAUAGGUGAACAUAAAUUUUAAAAAGUGCUUAUGCCCAGAGAAACAUGUUUCUUUUUUUCUACAAAAGUCUUUAAAGUAGCCCUGAGGAGACAAAUGACUGGACAUCAGUCUAUUAUCAUUUGGAGAAUGUGACAUAAGCUCCAGUUUUAUUUCCUUUAGAGUUGAAAAAUGAUCUGUAUUUUCCCUGAUCUCCUUCACAGUUUAUUCUCGUGUAAGUAUAAAGUAUAUAUUUUAAAAAUAUUGUUUAGCUUGCAUAUCUGGCCACUUGAUGACAUGAAUUAUAAAUCACAGUAUAAAAUAGUGUUUUUCCUGGCCAAUCAGAGAAAAAAAGAGACAAUGAAUGCCUUUAUUUCAUUUCAUUGGGGGCUGGUGAAAAUUAAAUGUAAUAAAGGCUACAGCUCUAAAUGGACAUGAUCAGAUACAAUUGCAUUGGAAAGUCAGAGGACAAUAUUAACAAAAAGCACUUUUUUAUUAGGGGAUUCCAUUCUUAAAUGCUAACACAUUUAAAAAUAAUAAACUGUGUUAAUACAUAAAUAUAUACUACCUAUAUCUUUUUAAAAAUGUUUUUAAAUUGUCAUGGCUUAUUGGGCACAGAGGGACACCUCUUGUGACAAUUAUAAAAUCUCCCAGUUGAAUAUGAAUUAUGUGUAAAGAGAAAGUAUGUUUUGCCUCUGUAUUUUAUACACAAUGGCAAAAAAAUAAGAACCCAUUAAUUUAGAAAAUAGACAAUGAGAUACUCUCUAAUUAAAUAGAAAGUUUCAGGAACUGGACCUUUGCUUCUCUCUUGCCCAUCCCAAACAUGUGGAUGAAUAAGCUCAGUGCAUUAGGGAUUGGAAUUUAGUCUAGGGUAAUUUAGAUCAUAGAAAGUAGGAAUAAGCAGUGGUACCUGAAACAUAUAACUCUAGGGAAAAAAUAUAUAUAGUGUAAAAAGUAGUCUCCAUUUGGAGAGAUUAUGACUUGAUUUAUGUAUUUUGCUAGGAUUGAAUUUUACUAAAUUACAGUUUUCAAUUUUUCUGUAUUAAUAGAGAUACCUCAUUAGGCAAUUUGGUGUGCCUAACAUGUACUAUGACUAAUACUGUUAAUGCUUUCAAAAUUGGACAUAAACACUAGGAGAUAGUCAUCUAAAUUGACUUAAUCAUAAUUUAAUUACUGUAUACUAAGGCACACCCAUUACAAAAUUCAGACCCAUACUGGCCAAAUAAUGGAUUACAAAUAACAGUGUGAUCAUGCAAGACUGAAUAAUAAACUCACUUAUAGAUGACUGAGAAAAGAUUUUAGGAAAAAUUCAUAGGAUAGUUGUAAUGAAGAAGAAAACUCCACUUUUUAAAUUUAGAAUCUCAAUUUUCCAGUCUCCUAUUUUUCUAGUUUGAUGAUUGAUGAGGAACCAAUUACACUUUUGGCUUCCAGAAUAUAAAUAGAAACUUAUGACAACAUAUCCUAACUCUUGCAGCUUCAACAAUUGGAUACUCAAUUUCUUUUUUCUAUGAUAAUAAAAUUAACAGAAAGAGACCAAAACAUUUUUAACCAUUAAUACUUUAUUGCAAUAAGCACAAUUUCUGACGGGAGGUGCUCAUAUGCCAUGGAGAAAAUUCAUUCCCAGUUUUUCCAGAUCACAAUCAAUCUUUCUUGUGACAGUAAAAGGUUUGACCUUCUUAGAAAGUUGUGGGAUAAGAGGAGUCUAUUGUUAGGACACAGGUUUAAAUAUAUUCAAGUCCGGACUGUUCUACCAAAAAUAUUUUUUAUGUGAGUGCAGUAAGAAACUGUUUCAGAUUAAGCUCACACUUUCAAUUUGGCUCCAUAAAUGUGUAUAGAGCAUAUAGUGUUUCUAAAGCACAAUACUGGGGAUUAAAGUCAGUUCCAGGCAUCAGCCGAUACGACGCUUGAACCAACCAUGAUCCUUCAGAGUCCUCUUUAAAACAAAGCUUACUGUAUGAAGAUUAUAAUCCAUGGAUGCUUAAGCAAAAAGGGGAUGAAAAAAAGCAAGUAAAGUCAAGGACAUUGCUCCAAUGCUUCACAUUGCUCUCUGCACACAAUCUAAAUUUUUUACCUUGAAGUACAACUUACUCCAGGGCUUGGUUCCCCAACUUACUCCAGAGCUUGGUUCCCCAUGUGGGGCCAACCCACAUGUCUGCCCUCCUGUUUAUUAUUUUUCCUUACUAUUGCCUUUCCUAAAACCUCUAGAUUAAUCAUAUUCUUUCAUUACGUGGUUCAUUCAAUAUCACUCUUUCGCUGUAAAAACCUUCCUUCAUUUUAAGAUCUGGAUGAGGUAAUAAGUCCUUGGAAACCUCUUGUUUCCUCAGGGAAAGUUGCCCCAUUCUCUGCAUUUCUAGAGUUUAUUGCUUAUAGCACUGUAACUGUGUUUAUCAUAUUAUGUUGUAACUUAAAAUAUGCAAGUUUGUCUCUUGAGAGCAAGAACCUUGUAUUAUUAAUCUUCACAUAUUCAGUAUUAAGAAUAUCAAGCAUAUACUAUUCAAAAAAUGUUAAAUGUUCAUGGAGGAUAAGAUUUUUUUUUCUGGAGGGAAUCUCAUGAGCUAGUAAAAAAAACAAGCAUAAAAGAAAUAAACAGAAAAGACUACAACACAAGAGUAAGAGCUAACUUUCAUUAUGUCCUUACUCUAUGCUAAUUACUGUACUAAAAUAUGUUCAUGAAUUAUAUUGAAACUUCAUGCCGAUUUUAGAAAGUAGGUAUUAUCACUAUAUCCAUUUUAUAUAUUGCACUGUGCUUUCACAUGACAUUGACAUUUCUUUGUUGUUUCUCUAAUCCACGUUAGACUGUAAAGUCUUUGACUACAUGGACUGUAUCUGGCACUGCUUCAUCCUCAGAAUCUUAUAUGGUGCCUAACACCUAAUCAAUAAUCAAAAUACUGGUUGAUAACAUUUGUUAAGGCAUUCAUGCAUGAAUCAAAGGAUUCCUUUUACCCAGUGUUUUAAAGAUUAUGACAGCACAUGCUUAUGUAAUGCUUAUGUUGUGCCAGAUGCUGUUCUAAGUGCUUUACAAAUAUUAGCUUACCAAACCCUCACCACACCUUGGGAGCCAGCUUUUGUCCCGGUAAACUGAGUAAUAUUUUACAGAUGAACAAACUGAAGCACAUAUAGGUAAAGCAAUUUGGCUAAGGCCAUAUAGCUAAUUAUGUAUUGUGGAUAAGGCUCUUAAAGUUGAACUGAGAUAAAACCUAGACAAUGAAAUCAGCCAUGCAAAAUCUACUAAAAUGACAAUUUAGAGAUUGUAAAUAGUUUUAAGUGGUUUAAUGAUCAUUUUUCAUCUUUCUUAUCUGGUGAACCCUUAGCUUAUUUUGACAAAUUUUCUUUAUUUUCUCUUAUCGCUAACCUGUGCUGUAAGCUUAGCUCUCCAUUGUUGAUACAAAGAACAUGCUCUCUACAUAUUGCCCGGGAUUUAUCUCUGAAAUUUCUCCUUAAGAAAUAGAAUUUUUGUUACAAUAACCUAGAAUGUACUGUCUGUCUGUCAAUUGCCUUUCUAAUUUCUGUUCCUAAUUAGCAUUGAAUAAGUUUGUGUGUACUGGAAAUAGCCAGAAAUAAGAUCUUUCAAAUGUAGAUAUGGCUCCUAUGAUAAUUGGGCUAUUGAAUUUUGCAUAUCUCUUCACUUCUAAGUAGGCAGAAAAAUCUUUCAUGCAUAUUUACCACAUUGUUCAAAAUUUCUUUCUCCAACAACUUCUUUUUCUUAAUUUGUUCCAAAAGUGUCUCUUGUUUUUCAAAUAAAUUUAUUUAAUAUAGAUAAAA
rnacentral:lncRNA from 1 species